UACAGAGGGUGCGAGCGUUGUCCGGAAUCACUGGGCGUAAAGGGCGCGUAGGCGGCGCGGUAAGCGUGCGGUGAAAGCCCGGGGCUCAACCCCGGGUCGGCCGUGCGGACUGCCGGGCUGGAGCACUGUAGAGGCAGGUGGAAUUCCGGGUGUAGCGGUGGAAUGCGUAGAGAUCCGGAAGAACACCGGUGGCGAAGGCGGCCUGCUGGGCAGUAGCUGACGCUGAAGCGCGACAGCGUGGGGAGCAAACGGG
rnacentral:rRNA from 1 species